GUGAGGAAUAUUGGUCAAUGGGCGAGAGCCUGAACCAGCCAAGUCGCGUGAAGGAUGAAGGUUUUAUGAAUUGUAAACUUCCUUUGCAGGGGAAUAAAGUACGGUACGUGUACCGUUUUGUAUGUACUCUGCGAAUAAGGAUCGGCUAACUCCGUGCCAGCAGCCGCGGUAAUACGGAGGAUCCAAGCGUUAUCCGGAUUUAUUGGGUUUAAAGGGUGCGCAGGCGGGUUGAUAAGUCAGCGGUGAAAGUUUGCAGCUUAACUGUAAAAUUGCCGUUGAAACUGUCGAUCUUGAGUGCAAAUGAGGUAAGCGGAAUGUGUUGUGUAGCGGUGAAAUGCUUAGAUAUAACACAGAACACCGAUUGCGAAGGCAGCUUACUGGGAUGCAACUGACGCUCAUGCACGAAAGCGUGGGGAUCAAACAGGAUUAGAAACCCGUGUAG
rnacentral:rRNA from 1 species